ensembl:lncRNA
UUCUGCUCUGUUGCGGCUGUAAACCGUUUAACACUUGCCUGCGUGGAUGGUAACGCUAGCAGCAGGAGGCGGCGGCACCGGGAGAAUGUGUAGCACACAGACAUAGAGACCUGUGAAAGCUGCUAAACCCAGUCUACGGAUGAAGGGCUCAAAGAAAGUUCCAAGUCCUGGAGAGACUGAAGGGUAUCGCCAAUGGAUUUGCAGCUGAAGCUGAUGUCCUUGAUCAUUGGUGUAGGUGUAACAAUCCUUGUAUGGCAAACCUAGGACGCAACCCCUGUCCACAACGGCACUUCAUACCCACAAAGCAGUGUUCAUUAUCGUACCAAAACCAUGAUCUUGGUUGGGCAAGGAUAAAAGUACUUCAGGGCAGGUGACAUCACCACACAAUGGCUACUAGGGCUUUGUCUCACUUCGUCGUUCCUUGAUUACUCGCAUCCUAUUUCAUCACCUGUACUGUAUCGCAACUGGUCCCUUCCCCACUGGCCGCCUUCUCCAUUGGGUGUUGAGAAGGAUGAAAUGAAGGAAUUAAGGAAGGAUGAAUUGAGAAAGAGCCUAGCACUCACCUGUCAACUAUCUCACAUGUGCUUCACACUCACUCCUCUGCUACACUCACUGACCUCCAUCUCCUCAUCAACCUCCGCAGCCAGCAGAGCAGACUGUGAACUGAGUCAAUCUAGCAUUUAAUUCUGCUACAUCGACUCCGAUCACACAUUCGGCAGCUGAAUUAUACUGUUGGGGGCGUAGAGGUGAAAGGGGGUGACUGUAGCAGAGGUGAGCUGCAGGUGAGUUCUAGUAGCCCCCGAUGUGAUGUCAUCCCCCUGAGACUUGAAGUAGCGUCUCCUCCUCCUACGCACACUCACUAGACUAUGCAUCAUAUACACACAGUAUACACACACUCACACUACACUGACACUCGCUCACAAAACCCACACACAUAUUUACAUACACUACAUAUGCACACACACACACGCAUACGGACACAACGCUUUACCCUGCCUUCAUGUACAUGUCUACCUGUAACUCUGCACAUUGAUCUGGUACUGAUGCUCCCUGUAUAUAGCUCCAUUCUUAUGUAUUUCAUUUGUAUUCCUCUUGUUACUAUUUUACGGUAACGUCUCCACCACUUGUAUUCAGAGCAUGUUAUUUUUUUAACAUGAAUGUAUCUGUAUUUUAACAACAUAAGCAUCUCAGCUGUGGGAGGAUCUCCUCCUUUAAUGUUGUGCUGGUUCUGCUACACUUACUGUCCUCCUCCAGUGGUUGGAACUCAUACAUGACAUUGCUACUUUGCAGCCAAUGUAAAAAUAAAAAUAAAAGACUCUUCACUGUGGUCACUCC